ACAGUUGGAAACGACUGCUAAUACCGGAUGUGCCGAGAGGUGAAAGAUUUAUCGCCUGGAGAUGAGCUCGCGUCUGAUUAGCUAGUUGGCGGUGUAAGGGACCACCAAGGCGUCGAUCAGUAGCUGGUCUGAGAGGAUGAUCAGCCACACUGGGACUGAGACACGGCCCAGACUCCUACGGGAGGCAGCAGUGGGGAAUUUUCCGCAAUGGGCGAAAGCCUGACGGAGCAAUACCGCGUGAGGGAGGAAGGCUCUUGGGUCGUAAACCUCUUUUCUCAAGGAAGAAGAAAGUGACGGUACUUGAGGAAUAAGCAUCGGCUAACUCCGUGCCAGCAGCCGCGGUAAUACGGAGGAUGCAAGCGUUAUCCGGAAUGAUUGGGCGUAAAGGGUCUGCAGGUGGAACUGAAAGUCUGCUGUUAAAGAGUUUGGCUUAACCAAAUAAAAGCGGUGGAAACUACAGAACUAGAGUGCGGUAGGGGCAAAAGGAAUUCCUGGUGUAGCGGUGAAAUGCGUAGAUAUCAGGAAGAACACCGGUGGCGAAAGCGUUUUGCUAGACCGUAACUGACACUGAGGGACGAAAGCUAGGGGAGCGAAUGGGAUUAGAUACCCCAGUAGUCCUAGCCGUAAACGAUGGAUACUAGGCGUGGCUUGUAUCGACCCGAGCCGUGCCGGAGCUAACGCGUUAAGUAUCCCGCCUGGGGAGUACGCACGCAAGUGUGAAACUCAAAGGAAUUGACGGGGGCCCGCACAAGCGGUGGAGUAUGUGGUUUAAUUCGAUGCAACGCGAAGAACCUUACCAAGGCUUGACAUCCUGCGAAUCCUGGUGAAAGCUGGGAGUGCCUUAGGGAGCGCAGAGACAGGUGGUGCAUGGCUGUCGUCAGCUCGUGUCGUGAGAUGUUGGGUUAAGUCCCGCAACGAGCGCAACCCUCGUUUUUAGUUGCCAGCAUUAAGUUGGGCACUCUAGAGAGACUGCCGGUGACAAACCGGAGGAAGGUGAGGAUGACGUCAAGUCAGCAUGCCCCUUACGUCUUGGGCUACACACGUACUACAAUGCUACGGACAGAGGGCAGCGAGCCAGGGAUGGCAAGCGAAUCCAGAAACCGUAGCUCAGUUCAGAUCGAAGGCUGCAACUCGCCUUCGUGAAGGAGGAAUCGCUAGUAAUUGCAGGUCAGCAUACUGCAGUGAAUUCGUUCCCGGGCCUUGUACACACCGCCCGUCACACCAUGGAAGUUGGUCACGCCCGAAGUCAUUACCCCAACC
rnacentral:rRNA from 1 species